GACAUCGGCGCGGCGAAGCGCGAGGUGCCUGACUCGGCGGAAAGUAGAAGAGCAGCACAAACAAAAAUCGUUUUCUGCCUUUUCUUGUUGCCGCUGUGCGUGAUGGUGAAGUGCGGCACCGACUCUCAAGACAGACGUAGAGAUUCACGCACGGCCUUUUUGAAAGAGAGAUCCAGGGGGCCUGCGCGACCUAUCGUGCGCGCACACACACACACACAGAGGGGCGCCUGUGUUCCUUUGCUUCCCUCCCUCCCUUGCCUGCCCAUUAUCUGCAUGAGCAUCUAGCCACUCUUGCUGCUGCAGCCUUUACGAGAGGACAAUGCCAUCGCCAUGCCCCUCCUCAUCCUCGCCUCUGCUAGGCAGCAUCACCAGCGGUAUUCGCUCGCCGUCAAGAGGUCCAGUGCAGCAGCAGCAGCAGCAGCACCAGCUACAUGCCCCGAUGCGACUGCGUCUACACGAGGACGGCAACAUUCGCGCAUGCCCAGAGAAGUCUGGCGGAGGUGUCAGCCAAGCGUGCGCUCCGCCGCUGCCGGCUGCGUCGGCCUUUGCUCGAGGGAAGGAGGAACCGAGCGCAAAGCGUCAUCAUGCAGAGCCGUCAUCUUGCCCGGCACCAGACGGCGACAGCAGUUCUGUCGGCAGAAGUGCGGCGGCGACAGCCGUCACCAUUGCCGCUCCUCUGCUUUCUAUAUCAAACCCCUCUUCGCGGGCUGCGCCUUCGCCUUUUCGUUUUCUGUGCACAUCUCUCGGUGGGUGCCCGGUGGUCGGGGCGAAGGGUGCACGCGUUCACCUGCCAGGCUCGUCAGCAAGUUGCGACGUGAGCGGCAGUGUCGCUCCGAGGGACCUUUCGACCACAUCUGCGCACUCAAAGGCGCAUUCCACGGCGGCCGUUGUGCGGGCCUCGCCCUCGUCGGGCGUCGUUUCACCACCGCUCUCUGCGACUUACCCCUCCCUGGUAUCUGCUUCUCGCGGCGCGCGCGUCGUUUGCUCUCAUCCUCAGCCCACAUCGGCGGCUUCAGUGCCUGGCGCUAUCAUUGACACAUCAGCACCGUCGCCAGUGCCAUCGCGGCCGCACCGCAUCCAUCAACACGAGCUUCGCCCCGCAGAUUUCCGUCGUGAGGAGGUGCUCGGUGAGGGGAGCUAUUCGAUCGUCACCCUUGCCACGCACCGUGCGUCGGGCCUGUGCUUCGCGCUGAAGGAGAUCGACCGAAGCCGCCUGCGAUGGCGACCGCUGGAGGCGCAGCUGCGCUGGGAGAUCAAUUUGCAGCGGACGCUGCGCCACCCGCACAUCGUGCGACUCUACAGCUACUUCAUUACGCCAGACUGCAUCAGUCUCGUGCUGGAGUACUGCAGCGGCGGGACGCUGCUGAGUCGGUUGAGAGCUGCACCACAGCACCGCUUGUCGGAGCGGCAGGCAUCGCGCUACACUCGCCACGUGGCGAAGGCGCUGACACAUCUGCACGGGCUCGGAGUGGCGCACCGAGACCUGAAGCUGGAAAAUGUGCUCAUCGAUGCAGACGGCAUUGCCAAGCUGGCAGACUUUGGCUGGUCACGCCCUGUUGUGCAUCCAUUGCCACCCAGUAAGUCAGCGGCUACUACUCAGACUGCAGGCGACAGGAACGACGUACCGUGUAGCAGCGCGGAGCACGACACGAGCAACGAGGACCCGACGGAAGGGGUGGCAGAGGGUCGCCGCACCGUGUGUGGCACUCUGGACUACCUCUCGCCUGAGAUGGUCUCCGGCCAAGCACACUCGGCCAAGACAGACGUCUGGUCGCUUGGUGUCAUGCUGGCCGAGAUGCUGACCGGCACGCCGCCCUUCUACACUGAGUCGACUCAGCAGACGCUUUACGCCAUCCAGCGGCUGCCGCCCAACCUCACCGGCUUACGCCCUAAAGGCCGCGGGCCAGGGCUCACUGGUAGCGGUGCCUCCGCCACGGCUAAUGUGUGUCUGACCCUCGACGAACCCGUGGCCCUAUCUGCAGGUGCGCUCUCUCUCAUUCACGCUAUGCUCCAGAAGGACCCGUCGGCGCGACCGACGAUGCAGGAGGUGUUGAGCCAUGCCUGGCUGCAAAAAACUCGUUAGGAAGUCAUGAAGUGGCGUGGAUGCCGCUCCUUUUGCCUUGCACCCUGUGCCGCUUCUUCUCUCGAUCCCCUUGUUCUGCCUGGUGCUGUCUGGCGCUUAUCCGCGUGAGGCUGCUAUGUACGCAUGGGCGCUAAAGUGCCUCAACGACAGCUACCGUUGUUGGGCUUCUUUUUUUUUUCGCGUGUCGCUUUAGAGUUAGGCGUGCCACUGCUGCACGUAUGUGUAUAGAGCAGCCGCUCCUUUAUCGGGAUGAGUCCUCCAGGAAUUUCGCCCACACAAUGGCGCGUGAGAACGAAAAG
rnacentral:misc_RNA from 1 species